GUUGAUUUCUAAUUUCAUAACAUUGUGGUCAGAAAAGACAGGUGGUAUGACUUCAACCUUUUUGAGUUUGUUGAGGCUUUGUGGUCUAAUAUGUGAUCUAUUCUGGAAACUCUUCCAUGUGCACUUGAAAAGAAGGGUUUCUACUGUUUUCAUAUAGAAUGUUCUGAAUGUAUCUAUUAAAUUCCUCUGCUCCAGUAUGUCAUUCAAAAUCACUGUUUCUGUCUUGAUUUUGUUUAGAUUAUCUGUCCAUUAAUGUAAGUGGGGUGUUAAAAUCCCCCACUAUCAUUAUAUUAUUAUCAAUUAGUUUCUUUGUUAUUAACUGCUUUAUGUGUUUGGGUGCUCUCAUGUUGGAUGCAUAAAUCUCUACAAUUACUAUAUUUUCUUGUUGGAUUGUCCACUUUAUUAUUAUACAGUGACCUUCUUUGUCUCUUUACAGACUCUGUCUUAUAGUCUAUUCUGCUCGAUAUAAGCAUUGCUACUCUAGUUUUUUUUUUUUUUUUACAUCUAUUUGCAUGAUAAAUGUUUCUCCAUCCCCUCACUUUCAAUCUUCAGAUGUACUUAGGUCUGACAUGAGUCUUGUAGGCAGCAUAUAGAUGGGUUUCAUUUUUUUUAUCCACUCUCACUCUUGACUGGAGCAUUUAGACCAUUUACAAUUGAAGUAAUUAUUAAUAGAUAUGUAUUUAUUGCCACUUUGUUAUUUGUUUCUUGGUUGUUUUUGUAGUUCUUCUCUGAUCCUUUCUUCUCUUUCUUUCACGGUUUGCUGGUUUUGUUUACUGAUAUACUGGGGUUAUUCUUACUCUUUAUGUUUUGCAUAUAUAUUAGUGUUUUUUAUUUGUGGUUAUGUAUAACCACAAAUUCAGUUUAUAUAUAACAUCUUCCGUGUAUGGCAGUAUAUAUUAAGCUGAUUAAUUUUGAAUUCAUUCUUUACUCCUCUCUCCCUGCUCCAUGUUUCGCAUAUUUGGUAUCAUCCUUUACAUCCUUUUGUGUUUCUCUUGACUGAUUUUUACAGAUACGCUUAGUUUUUUUUGUUUUUGUUUUUGCUUUUGUACUUCCUACUUUUCUUACUAUUAUCUAUGGUUUUUGUUGAAAAAAUACAUUUUAAAUGAAGAAACUCACUGGGAGUGUUGAAUAGAUGAUAGAAGGAAAGAAUCUGUUAACUUGAGGACUAUUUAUUAGAAAUUAUACAAUCCAAUUUGAACAAAAAAGAAAAAUAAAUUUUUUUUUAAAAAUCAAGAGAGCCUCCUGAACUUGCAGAAAAAUAACCAAAGGUCCAUUAUCUUUGUCACCGGUAUCCCAAAAGAAAAAGAUUGUGGGGCCAAAAAAAAAAAUUUAGAAGAAAUAAUGUCUAAACAAUUACCAAGUUUGACAAAAGACAUAAACCCAGAGAUUAAAAGAGCUCACUGAACUCAGCAAAAGAUAAGUCUAAUGAAAUCUACACCAGAACAUCCUAACCAAACAGAUGAAAACAAAAAACAAACAUAGCUUGAAAUUGGCCAGAGAAAAAUAACACUUUUAGGGAACGAUUUGAAUGACUACGAA
rnacentral:lncRNA from 1 species